rnacentral:rRNA from 1 species
UACGAAGGGGGCUAGCGUUGUUCGGAAUCACUGGGCGUAAAGGGCGCGUAGGCGGCUUUAUAAGUCGGGGGUGAAAGCCUGUGGCUCAACCACAGAAUUGCCUUCGAUACUGUAGAGCUUGAGACCGGAAGGGGUAAGUGGAACUGCGAGUGUAGAGGUGAAAUUCGUAGAUAUUCGCAAGAACACCAGUGGCGAAGGCGGCUUACUGGUCCGGUUCUGACGCUGAGGCGCGAAAGCGUGGGGAGCAAACAGG